GGCCGGGUCCUGGUGACUGUGCCCAUUGUGAACCCCGCCAGGUCCGGAAGGAAGCAACGGUAGCGGUGGGCACGGGGCAUCAGGGCGCCCGGUCAUC
rnacentral:SRP_RNA from 1 species